CCAAGAAGCAACAAGAGCUGAGGAGAUGCCAGUGGUGGGGGCAGUCCUGAGGAUUCAUGGGAACACCUUGACAUGUGAGUGCCAUGGAGAUCAUCAAGGAACCUGGGAUGCAAAGCCUUCUACAACAGAUGGACCAAGCCGCUGCAGCAUUUACACCUAGAUGCCACAGACUGCCUUCCCUUCCCAUCCACCCCAGCACACAUGGAGAGACUCCAGGAGGCAGACAACCACCUUUGGAACUGUUGUCUGGGAGAGGGUCAGGUCAGACUCCAGGUGGCCUCAGCUGAUGCCAGCCACAGUCCCGAGCAAGUGACAGGACACCUCCAGCCUGCCGCACUGACCAUGGUCAAGAUGGCUUCUGGAACCCAGCCCAAGACCAGCCAUGGUGCUGCUAGGGAUGGAGUACUGGUUGAUUUUGUGCCUCAACUUGACACAAGCUAGAGUCAUCAGAGAAGAAGGAGCCUCAGUUGAGAAAAUGCCUCCAUGAGAUCCAGCUGUAAG
rnacentral:lncRNA from 1 species